UGCAGUAUCUUUGUAGUUUUAUUGUUAAUAGUGAUAAGUUUCAUGAUACCCAAUCUUCUUACUCUGUCUUCCAAUCUAUUGAAUGACAAGAUGCACUUUGUAAGAUUUCCCUUUCAAAGUUAGCUUAAUAAUUAUUCUUUAUUUAAAUCCUUUAAGGGGUGUACACCUUUUCUGAGGUGCAGCAUCUGUGCUGCUGACCUGUGUAUUAGGUCAGCAAAUCAAAGCCCCAUUCCUUUGUUCAGCAUAAAAAGAUAGGUCAGUGACUUCUCUUUCAUUGUCUAUUUUUAUACUGUUUUUGAAGGAAACCUGAUAUUUUUACUGUUUUCCCUUAACAGCAUUGUCAAGGGUGAUUAUGCAGGUUUAAACCAUAAUGUUUAAACCUGAUAAAGGAGUCCAAUAGUUUUUUACAGAUUGUAUUUAUAACUUCUAUAGACAGAAUUUCUAGGUGCAUUCAAAGUGUUGAGGAGAGCUGCUGCUAUCCCCGUGACCCUACCUCGGAUAAGCAUAAGAUGGAUGGAUGGAUAAUGGAUAGACGGAUGGACGGGCCGACGUUUAUAUAUUAUGCUGAAACAGAAUUAAGCAUAUCUAAAAAGAGGUACCAGAUUGAUGUGAUCAAGAGCUGAACUCUUUAACAUUUUUAAAUUAAACAGGAUAAUAACACCUCUGAUACCCCAAAAAAGGCCCAAUUGUUUUACUUUUAUCUUUGGAACAUAAUGUACUUGUUCUAAUCAACCUAAUAUCUGUGGAAAACGUUAAAUGUCAUGUUAAAUGGUUGUUUCUCACAGCGUUUUUCUGCAAGCAAAUGACAGAACAAAAUUUUAAGGUGGUAGACAGAACGCUGGGAACUAAUUCAAAAACACAAAAAUAUACAUUGCAUUUUCUUGAAGGGGAAUUUCUAUUAAUUACUGAUUAAAGUAGUAUUUUUCAGAAAGGAAAGCAUUACCUUAGGCGUCGCUUGACAGUUCGUACAGAGACGUUCAUAGCAGCUGCCAUUUGUGAUGCUGUGAAUCCACAGGAUCUUAAAAAGAUCAUCUGUUCCCUGGUGAUACUGUAGCUUGGUCGACCCCUGGAUCCACUAGUGACUACUGAAGCCUCAAAGCUAUAGCUGUCUGUAGGAAAAUAUCCAGAAUAUGCUGUGUUUUUAGCUACGGGGACAGUAUAUAUUUAUUAAUUAAUUUAUUUUAAUUUAUUCAUUUUUUAAUUUGCUUCUUGAUUUAUUUAUUUAUUGCCUGUUUAAAAAGAAAAAGACAAAAAGGCAGUGAAUCAAAGAGGAAGGUGUAGUGUAAAACCUCAAUUGUGGUAUUAAAUAUUAGUCAUAUAUAGAACCAAUUUUAGAGUCACAAACGGGGGGCAAUGAUUACGUUGUUGAGCCGAGUGAGAUGAGGUUCUGAUAAGUUCCAUUAGUUCUGCCAAGUCAGUCAAAGUACGAUCAGCGGAUGUCUCGUUAACCCAUUUCCCCCGGGCCCACUGUAGGCUUCUUUGUAUUGCCUCAAGCCUACCAAAAUAAAAAAAAUAAAAAAACAACUAGUUUUUGGUCCUAUGUGCUAAGCAGUAAGACAAAUCUUCACCUAGUCUCUUGAUAUAGCAGCGUUGACCAUUAUAAUUGCUCAUUUCAAUAUCUUGAGAUUAACAAUAAGCAAAGUAAAAAGGUAGUGUAGGAUUACCUGAUCAUCACCACAUUGCGCACUUCGGGUCCGUUGUUCAUUUCCACACGCCUUAUGCAGUCAUUGAAGACGUUCUUGCAACGCAAAAUAAAAUCUCUUCGAGGCAUAGUUCUUCUAGCGUUGCAGUGAGAAGUAGUUUUUAUGAUUUGCCAAAGUUUAUCAGCAGAGUAACUACUAAUCAAUGGUCCAGAAUCCUUUACUAAAAGGUAUAAAUGCGCAGUGCGCACGCACCAACAACUUGGUAAAAUUUUUUAUUGCGCUGCAUUAAGUAGUUCCGUUUGCUAUUUAAACCAAUACCUCCCGCCAACACCUACCUUUCAAAUUAUGCCGGAUUUCAGGAGAAGGUUGAGCGACAUAAGAGAUCGUGUUAAUGCUAAUUUUGAUCGCAUUUUAAACGAACAAGGUGAGACAACUGAAAGGGUACCUUCUGUCAUGGAAAGAUGCCACUGCUACCUGUAGGGUAGUGGUUCCCCUAAAUCAUGAUUCCCGCCAAUUCAGGCUAGCUCCCAGGAAUGCUAUUCCUGAGCUCACUGAGAGUUUUGAGCUUUGCCGGAUUAAUGGGAGACAGGAGGUAAUUCCUCUGCUGGAGACAUGCCCUGGGGAAAUCCACAAUAACAGAGCACUCGGUCGGUCAAAUCUGUACCUGAGACCGGUUUCUGACAGACAGCACCCACCAUCAGCUGAACAAUUCUGGGAAAGCCUGGAAACCAGCAAUGCAGCAACAGAUGUCACUUCAACACCAACUCCUAAAGUGAUUUGGAACUCGGAGAAAUCCUUCAAAGUUUUCAAACUGAGCACAAAGAAGAAGAAAAGGUGACAGGGAUUGCACGGCGACGGAAGGCUAUUCAAAGCAUCUCCAUGGCUAUGGCGAGACAGAGCUUCUGCUGGAAGAAGAUUCCACAAGUGGACUUUGUGGGCGAGAUGGCGGAUGACUAUGGGGGUCCCAAAAGGGAAUUUCUUAGGCUUCUGAUGGUGGAAGUACACUCCUCAUUAGGAGUGUUCGAGGGUCAGCCAGGGAACAUGUUCUUCACCUAUGAUGUAGAGGCACUUUCGAAAAAUAAAUAUUUUCUGGCCGGGAAGCUGACCGCAUGGGCAAUCUUUCACGAUGGCCCUGGUCCUCAAGGACUUAAUAAGACCCUCUACCACAUGAUGUGUGGUCAGAGAGCAGAUGUCUCUGCGCAGCUGCCAGAUCUGCCUGUUGAUUCCAAUGUUCAACAGAACAUUGAAAAGGUUUGGAAUUGUUCAUCUGAGCAGCUGAAGGAAGACCUGGGGGACUGGGUGGCAUGCCUGGCAUCUAUGGGGCUACAAUGGAGGACUUGCCAUCCCUGCGUUCAGCAGUUGUUGAGCACUAUGUUUUCCACAGAUUGGCCAGCAUGGUGAACCAAUAUAUAAGUGGGUUCAACUCAUGUGGUGGUUUCUGGCAGGUGGUGGAAAGACACUGCAUGCAGUUUCUCCCUGUGUUUACAAACGUAGGUGAGAAACUUGGGAGAAGCUGCAUGCAGUCUCUCUUCACCAUAAAAUGGAGUCCACCUGGAAGCAACCGCAGGGAGGCUGAAGAGCAGACCAUUUUCUGGUGGGAUUGGUGGCUGGUUGCUAUUCAAGAUGGAGAAGUAGACAUCUUCUUUGAGCAAGUACUUGUGUUUGUGUCAGGGGCGGAUACCAUUCCCCCGCUUGGGUUUUCACCAAACCCAUCGGUUGAAUUUUUGACCAGGAACCAGGAGAGCAACGCCUGCCAUACUCCUCUACCUGCAGCAUCGCCCUGUUCCUUCCAAGACGGGUGGAGUGUGAGGAGCAAUUUAAAGCCAUGAUGGAAAUGUCCAUCAAGGGCUCACAUGGCUUUGGAAAAGUCUGAUUU